UUCCUGGUGGUCCAAUGGUUAAGACUCUGCGAUCCCAAUGCAGGUGGCCCAGGUCCGAUCCCUGGUCAGAGAA
rnacentral:tRNA from 1 species